AUUGAACGCUGGCGGCAGGCUUAACACAUGCAAGUCGAGCGAGCGGCGGACGGGUGAGUAAUGUCUGGGAAACUGCCUGAUGGAGGGGGAUAACUACUGGAAACGGUAGCUAAUACCGCAUACCAUCAGAUGUGCCCAGAUGGGAUUGGCUAGUAGGUGGGGUAAUGGCUAACCUAGGCAACGAUCCCUAGCUGGUCUGAGCGGAUGACCAGCCACACUGGAACUGAGACACGGUCCAGACUCCAACGUGAGGCAGCAGUGGGGAAUAUGGCAAAAUGGGCGCAAGCCUGAUGCAGCCAUGCCGCGUGUAGGAAGAAGGCCUUCGGGUUGUAAAGUACUUUCAGCGAGGAGGCGUUACUCGCAGAAGAAGCACCGGCUAACUCCGUGCCAGCAGCGGCGGUAAUUC
rnacentral:rRNA from 1 species